AACGAACGCUGGCGGCAGGCUUAACACAUGCAAGUCGAAUGCCCCGCAAGGGGAGUGGCAGACGGGUGAGUAACGCGCGGGAAUCUACCCAGAUCUUCGGAACAACUGAGGGAAACUUCAGCUAAUACCGGAUACGCCCUACGGGGGAAAGAUUUAUCGGUUCUGGAUGAGCCCGCGUUGGAUUAGCUAGUUGGUGAGGUAACGGCUCACCAAGGCGACGAUCCAUAGCUUGUCUGAGAGGAUGAUCCGUCACACUGGGACUGAGACACGGCCCGGACUCCUGCGGGAGGCAGCGGUGGGGAACAUUGGACAAUGGGCUAAAGCCUGAUCCAGCCAUCACACGUGAGUGAUGAAGACCUUAGGGUUGUAAAGCUCUUUCAGUGGGGAAGAUAAUGACGGUACCCACAGAAGAAGCCCCGGCUAACUUCGUGCCAGCCGCCGCAGUAA
rnacentral:rRNA from 1 species